ACCCUUAGAUGUUCUGGGCCGCACGCGCGCUACACUGAUCGAUUCAACGAGUGUUUUGGUGUUUGCCAUUGCGCAGCACCGAGUUCCUUUGCCGGAAGGCAUGGGUAAUCUUUUCAACGUCGAUCGUGAUGGGGCUAGAUUCUUGCAAUUAUUAAUCUCCAACGAGGAAUUCCUAGUAAACGCAAGUCAUCAGCUUGCAUUGAAUACGUCCCUGCCCUUUGUACACACCGCCCGUCGCACCUACCGAUUGAAUGGUCCGGUGAAAUCUUGGGAUCCUGUGAGACGGUCUUUAUUGUACUGUUUUGUGGGAGAACUUGAGUAAACCUUACCAUUUAGAGGAAGGUGAAGUCGUAACA
rnacentral:rRNA from 1 species